AUCUAGAUGACGUGUCCCAAAUAGGACGAGAUGCACACCCUGGAU
rfam:Schistosoma mansoni strain Puerto Rico chromosome 3, complete genome